GCUUAGCCCUAAACACAGAUAAUUACAUAAACAAAUUAUUUGCCAGAGUACUACCAGCAACAGCUAACUCAAAGGACUUGGCGGUGCUUUAUAUUCCUU
rnacentral:rRNA from 1 species